GGGUAUAGCUCAGUGGUAGAGCACAUGCUUAGCAUGCACGAGGUCCUGGAUUUAAUCCCCAGUACCUCCA
rnacentral:tRNA from 1 species